UAAAAGGGACAGUCCAUCCUCUUCAACUGGCUGAAGGACAUAGUCAACCAUUUUCGGUGGUGUUGCAAGACUGCCGACACACGUGGGCAGUUUCUUGCAUUAUGGCUUGGCAUCCUUCACCAUGUCUGCAACAUUCACACCUGGACUAUGGGAAGUUGCAAACACGGGCACCUUGAAUCGGAUCAAAUGCGGAGAAAGAUGUGGAUCCAGAGAGACUCCCAGUGCCACAAAGCUUUAGUGGAUAUAGUUCUCAAUAAGAAGUGGCAGAAAGAUGUUCACAACUAUCUGUGAUUCAGAUCAACUGCAGACCUAGAGUCAUUCCAGAAUCAUAUCCUGAUGUAUGCCAGCAAGCGUUAUGCUUUCAGCCCCCCAGUUUAUGAGGCAAGAGUUCUGCUUGCUGCUUUGGACUACAAUUUCCACCGGAACCGACCAACAAUGAAAACGUUGGACGGCAAAGAGAUUUUCAAAAGAUUGUAUAAGAAGAACGGUAGAAGAUACAGCGUAUAUGCCUUGAAAUCUGAAAAAACCUACGGAUACAUUUCCGAGUUGCAAAGAAGGAUUGUGAAGAACAGACUCACAAGUGGAGUGGGGAUGCCUAGAAGGAGGAGCCUUCUCCUAGAUGACCCCAGACAGCUUGGUUUGGUGCCUCCCGUACCUGCACCAGCAACAUCAGACUUGUUGCAGAGACAAGUCACAAAUUUGUUGCCUAUGUUGUACCAUAUUACAUGUCACUGAAUGAUAUUUACAUUACAAUAUAGUCUGUAACUAUGUUUGAUGGCACUGUCUUCAACAGGACCGUUAUUCCAACCAGCAUCUGAUGUGGAAGGAUCCCCAUAGGAGAUCACCUUGCAUGUGUCCUGGUACUUGUCAGGCAGGAUCACGAGGGAAAGAACUUCAGUUCACUGACAAAGUCAUAGCUUUUACCCUUCAAAAAGAGAAAUUUAUUAACAUUAAAUUCUGUUCCUACCCUCCUCCAGUGGUUAUUUCAUGUUUUUCCAAUUUGUACACGUUUCAUCUUAUUCUGCUAAGUCCACUGUGACCAGCGCAUAUUAUUUUCAGUAGGUAGCCUAAAUUACAGUUUACAAUUUGAACAGUAAUGAUA